rnacentral:rRNA from 1 species
UAAGGAAUAUUGGUCAAUGGAGGCAACUCUGAACCAGCCAUGCCGCGUGCAGGAAGAAGGCCCUAUGGGUCGUAAACUGCUUUUGAACAAGAGAAAACCCCGGUACGUGUACUGGGUUGAUAGUAUUGUUAGAAUAAGCAUCGGCUAACUUCGUGCCAGCAGCCGCGGUAAGACGAAGGAUGCAGGCGUUAUCCGGAUUCAUUGGGUUUAAAGGGUGCGUAGGCGGACUGAUAAGUCAGUGGUGAAAUCUCUCGGCUUAACCGAGAAACUGCCAUUGAUACUGCAGGUCUAGAGUAUAGAUGACGUUGGCGGAAUAUGACAUGUAGUGGUGAAAUACUUAGAUAUGUCAUAGAACACCGAUUGCGAAGGCAGCUAACGAAACUAUAACUGACGCUGAGGCACGAAAGUGCGGGGAUCAAACAGGAUUAGAUACCCCUGUAGUCCCUGAGCGGGCUGGCAAGGCGCAU